rnacentral:sRNA from 1 species
GAAGAGAAGAGAGGAGAGAGAGAGGGCGGCAGAGGUG